AAACAGAAGAAAUAUAUGCCUGUUCAUAUGAGCGGGAUUUUCCAUUCAUGAUAAAAAGUUAUGGGAAAUAUCUACCUUCAUAGCCAAAGACUCAACAAAAAAAGGUGGAUCAGACUCAUGAGACACAUGAGAAGACCCAAAGAAAAAGAACAAGCUUGGCAAUGGCAAUAUAACAUGGGGCUCUUCAGAAGUUGAUGAUCUCUCUGUUAUUGUAAAAACUAAGAAGAGUUUGGUGAAACUACCUGGAAGCAUGUUAUCUGAAGAGUAGAGCAUGACAAAUGGAGUUGAAUUCCAAGGAGCAAUUCUGAAUCAUAAUUAUCACCAGGGACCUUUACAUGUCAAUAUAGUGUCCUAUCCUGAUACUGAGGUAGAAACUGGAGCUGCCAGGAAUAGAUAGAAUGAGCAGG